GAGGCCUGGAAAAAAAGGAACCAAUGAUGAGCAAGAGCCCGAACAGAGGAGGCUGAGUCUUCCUUUCAAAAGCAGCUCCCGAAGUCCCCAGGAGAGGGAAAUAAAAGAAGAAGAGAGAGAAAGAGAGAGCUUGUUGCUAGUUGUUGCUAGUUGUCUCUGUUAUACUAGCUCACCUGGUUUAAGAACAGGCAAAAGACUUGAGAUGCAGAAGAGGAAAUCCCACUGGACCCUCGCACCGCCUUGUUAGUGAAGGAAAAUCAUCAGCCCUGUGGCAGGAAGACCCUGACACCUACAGAAUGGAUUACCUUUACAGAGUCCCUUAUCAGCUCCUGCACCUUCCCAGCACUGGUAUUCCCUCAAUUCAGUUAAUUCCCUGAGCCAGGUGGAGAUAGUGGAGGAAAACUGUCUGAUUCACCAUAAAGCUGCUAGGGAAAAGUCUUUCAGAUAUAAUCUGUUUAUGCUUUAGUCACUCAAAUGUAUGGCCACAUGUUGUAAUUAAAUUUUUUCUA